CACGCCGUAAACGAUGGAUACUAGCUGUUCGGAGUAAUCUGAGUGGCUAAGCGAAAGUGAUAAGUAUCCCACCUGGGGAGUACGCACGCAAGUGUGAAACUCAAAGGAAUUGACGGGGGCCCGCACAAGCGGUGGAGCAUGUGGUUUAAUUCGAUGAUACGCGAGGAACCUUACCAGGGCUUAAAUGUAGAUUGACAGGACUGGAAACAGUUUUUUCUUCGGACAAGUUACAAGGUGC
rnacentral:rRNA from 1 species